AUAGUUGUAAGGUUCGCAUCGCAGUUGGCAGUCUCUCAAACCAUCUUGACUCCUGGAACUCCUUCACUCCUGACGUUUGAGGUGUAAUACAAACCUCUCCAGAUGGCAGAGGCAUCUGAUUCCUCCCAUGAGCUUGAGGUGGAGACGAGUACCCCAAAAGACAGUGACUCCUCUUUGCUCAACAACAGCAACAAGAGAGAUCAAAAUGUCAAAAAAGAUGACUCUGGAAUAUCCAGUGAAAGAUUAGAAAAUUCAGAUGAUGAUGAAGGGAACAAGAAAUUAAAGUCAGAAGGGGAGAAAAAAAGUGGAGAGUCUUCAGGCAUCUCGAUUGUCAAGGGGAAGACCUGUCGCCUGAGAAACUACAGACCAAGAUUACUCGAGUCAAGUUCAAAUGAUAGUGGUGAUGACGAUGACGAUGACAGUACCCUGCGUGCAAGCAACAAUGAAGAGAAAAAGUCUGACACAGCUUUGACACGGAGAAACGUGACCAUAACCUUGGCAUCAGAAAUGGAGGACACAAGCGCAGAUACAAGUCGUGACACUGAGACAGAUCACAUGGAGCCUACUAGUCCAUCAGCAAUGGAGACUGGAAGUGCUGCAAGUGGAAACACUGAGGAUGAUAACACAGAUGACUCUCCACCAAUGGAACGUCGCAUUGAGCGACGUUUCAGCAGCCAAAGAAUAUUUGGUGGACUUUUGUCAGACACAGAUUCUGACUCUGAUGAUGGUGGGCGACGUAGGGGUCUCCAGGAUGGCAUAGAGAAUGAAACACAGUGGAAGGACACAGAAGAAGCCAUUGCCAAAGAAAUGACAAGAAUUAAGGAACGGCCCAAACCAAAACACCAUUGGAAUUUUGUAGAUCAAGUUGUUCAGAGGCAGUUAGGCAGUCGAUCAAGGUACCAAUCCUCAGUGUUAUUUAGUCACCACUACUAUGACUCACUCCAUGUACCUAAGCGCCUUGAACUCAUGUACAAGAUGGAGUUCCACAGGGGAUGCGUUAAUGCCCUAAGCUUCAAUGCGAGUGGCACCAGGCUUGCCAGUGGCUCUGAUGAUUUCCAGAUUGCCGUUUGGGAUUGGGCUCGAGAGAAAGCCAUAAUCACAUUCUACAGUGGACAUAGGAAUAAUGUGUUCCAGAGCAAGUUCCUACCACUGAGUGGUGACACACACAUUGUAUCCUGUGCAAGGGAUGGACAAGUUCGAUUGGCUGAACUAUCCUCCACUGGCGUGUGCAAGGCCACAAGAAAAUUGGCCAAGCAUCAUGGCCCAGCACAUAAGCUUGCCACCCUCCCUACCUCCCCACAUGUUGUUUUAUCUGCUGGAGAAGAUGCUGUUGUACUUAAUAUUGAUAUUCGUCAGGAGCAGCCUAGCAGGGUGGCAUUUGUGAAGGACAUUUCUGGUAGCCGUGUCUCUCUCUAUAGCAUCCAUGCUCAUCCAAUCAAUGAAAAUCAGUUUUGUGUUAGUGGGCACGAUCAGUAUGUUCGAGUAUAUGACCGACGUUGUGGGAAUGACUUCCCAACUUUGAAGUACUGUCCAAGACAUUUGUAUGAGGCUGUCCCGACACCAACAGUAACUUGUGCAGUUUACAGUGGUAAUGGGGACUCUAUACUGGCAUCAUACAAUGAUGAUGACAUUUAUCUGUUUGAUACAUCCCGCUCUGAAGCUGCAGAUGCAGUCCAUAGAUACUCCGGCCAUCGUAAUAGUGCUACAGUUAAGGGUGUAAAUUUCUUUGGUCCUGGAAGCCAGUACGUUGUAUCAGGGUCUGACUGUGGAAACAUAUUCUUCUGGCAUCGCGAGACUGAGGCCAUUGUCCAGUGCAUGCCAGGAGACGAGAAUGGAGUGGUUAAUGUGUUGGAGCCACAUCCUCACAUACCAGUGCUGGCUACAAGUGGCCUUGACGACGAUGUUAAAAUUUGGGUGCCAACGUGUGAGGAAGAUCCAGACCUGCCCAACCUGGAUCAGACCCUCAAGUCCAAUUUAAGUAAGCGCCACAAAGAACGUAAUGAAGAGUUCACUGGACUUGAUUCCCAAAUGCUGAUGGUCCUUUGGCAUCACAUCAGACGGACAGAUAGCAGACGACGUAGGGGUGCGUCCUCAGACAGUGACUGAUAUUCGUGCACAGCGCUGGCACAUAAGCCUUCAGCUUCACAUCGGCAUUUGCACCAGGAAGAGAUAAAUGGGUUCUAAAAAUGGCAACAGCUGGGAACAGCAGCAGUGGCAAUGUAGGAGCCGAGGGUGGCAAUGGCACUGGAGGGUCGUCUAGUGAAGACUCCAACGACAGUGAAGAUGACGAUUCUGAAGGACACCGGGGUAUCCAGUGUGCUACAC
rnacentral:misc_RNA from 1 species